UUUAGCUAAUUACAUCUGCAAAGACCCUUUUCCAAUUAAGAUCACAUUCUGAUGUUCCGGGUAGACAUGAACUUGGGGAACAGUGGGGAU